UUUAAUAUUUAAAAUCCGUGCGAAUAACCGUAGGUUAUAUAUCAAUCAUCGCCUCGGUUCGUUUUUCGCCACGUUAUUAUCCACACUGUUAUUCCGUGCAAUCUACAAGGGAAUCAAGGAUCGGGACAACACCUCGUUAUUAUUCCAUUUGCGAAAUUUCACGAGAUCGUCCAACGAUCGAUCCGCCGAGUAAAUAACACCAAUUUAAAAGGACGGCGUAACGAUGCGUACGUUGGCUCGGCGUUGUGUUUGCGCCACCAGGAAGAAAACGCUGCGCUGCACUUGGUUCAGUUUAUAGAAAGCACACGAUUGCGUUGGUGGCUUCGCCUCUCUUUCUCUCUCUCUCUCUCUUUUCUAUACGUCAAUGCGCGAACACGCUCGCGCGAGAAUCGUUCGUCCGUUGCGAGCCGAUCGGAUACUUUGAUUACGGAUCGAAUGAAACAACAACAGCGAGGAAGAGAUGAUUCGUUUCGAGAAGGGAGGAAAGACUAACGUGAUUGUGAUCGGGCGAUUAGAAUUAAAAAGAUGUGUUAAAAAGAUAAGAGUUCAAUUUUUAAGUUAAUAGAAAAGGAAACGAGAGAUACUUCUUACCAAUUUUCUUACUUCUACAUUGUAUUCGUAAUUGUAUUAUCUUCUCUCGCGAUCCGACGGUAAGCGAGUUUUGAAAUGGAGUAUACACAUCGCAUUUUAAGGUCAAAGAUGUAUACAAGUCUGAAUGUGUACAUGUCCAUAAAUCCAGCACAAACUAACAAUAGAUAGACUUCGAUUUUUCUCUGUACACAUAAAUUUAUGUCCUCGUUAAAUCAUAGAAUCGCCACGUAGGCGUGGAUCGUUUGUUAAUGGAUACGGAUACGGGCGCAGGGUGGGAACGGAUCAUUCCGUUCGAGGAAUGAAAUCAAAGAGAUCGGGAUAAAAAUUUUUACGCGAUUAUUAAUAAUCGCGCUUUUACGAUCACCGUAAAUUUUUACGCAAUAUUUACCCGUAAAAAGCAAUAUGUUUAACACUUGUUGAGAAACGAGAAUAGAAUAUAUAUUUCCUUCGCGCUGUUUGCCUUUUUUUCGUUUUUGUCGAAUCGCGUGCUAUUGUGUUGCCGCAUGUAGCCGCGUGUGCACGAGAGAGCCGCGCAUGCGCGUGUGCGCCUUAUAGACGCCUAUAGAGGUAUCAAGCGGAGCUCGAGUUAAAAGCGUGCAGUGUUCUCUUGUGCUCCUCGUGCUGGUGGGACCUUGUUUCAUGACCCACAUAAAGCAAGGCCGUUAACACUACUCACGAGUGUUGCGCGCGUAUGGGUGCGGGCCCCAACGAGCUACUCGCCGUUCUAUGGGACCCCACGUGUCCCCUCCGCGGUUGCCGGGGCGAGGGAGGGAGGAAGGGAGGAGGAGGAGGAGGAGGAGGCCCGACGACGUGCCCCUCUGAUAUAUACGCUACCUGCAUAUACCGGCAUGUAUACCUCCUGUAUGUAUGCGCCUUCGUAUUACCAUACGUCACGUGUACGUGUACGUGUAAGAUGAAGCAGAGAAGAUGGACUUGUUGGUGUGCGUAAGACAAGUGGACCUGUAUGUCGAAAUACGUGUGCGUGCACGAGAGAGCUUGAGAGCUCUGUCUAUACAGGACUGAAUCUGUUCCUAACUACGUAAAUAAUUAACCGUUGAUAGAGAAGUGGAGAAAUAUUAUUAUGACCUGAAAUAUUAUUAUGUUUACUGAUGCAAUCAUGUUAUACGGAUUAAUAGAGAGUAAAGGGGGAUGGAAAGCGAAGGGAAAAAAAUUACUUGUUUUCGAAUAUUUCUGUACUCGACAUCCAGAUUCAAUGGAAGAAAGGAUGAAUUAUUCGUGAAAAUUUGGUGCGCGGUUAUACGAGCGAUAUUUGGCGUUGAAAAAGAAAAAUUGUAUCCAAGAAAUGUUGUAUCCAAAACGAAGAGAAAAUCAGUGUUGCUGUUUAUAUUUAUCGAAAAGCGAAGCAAUAAAGGAUAUACGUAUACCGAAAGUUAAGCGUUAGGUCCUGGGUCCUGUUCGUGUAGCACUGUAUGUAGCAUUUAUUAUAUAGCGUGCGCACUGAAUGCACAUCCGUGUACGAGUGUGUGCGUGACUGGACAAGUUAGUAGGUCACACGGAUUGAGGAACAUAUCGGUGGGCGUGAGUCGUGCGCACACUAAUAUCCGACAUUAUCGGUGGAGAACUGUGACUCGAAACGCGGCUUCACGAGGUACCUUGAUCUUGACUAGAUGCAAGGUCCAUUUCGCUGUCGUCGUACGUUCAAUAAGGCAUUGCUCCUAUUUGCUUUCGCAUUGUUUGCAUUACUACCGCGUAUUAAACGGAUUUCAUGCGUAGCUAGACUUUAAAUAGGGAAAGUUUUAAAACUUAUUAUAUAUUUACAAAUUUUCCGUUAAAUCUAUUAAAUUGUAUGAUGUAUCGCGACAAAAUUGCUUUACUUUUGUAUUGGAAAAUAUCUGGAAAUUUUAAUAAAAAAUAAAAAUAAGAACAA